GUAGGUGGCAAGCGUUGUCCGGAAUUAUUGGGCGUAAAGCGCGCGCAGGCGGUCCUUUAAGUCUGAUGUGAAAGCCCACGGCUCAACCGUGGAGGGUCAUUGGAAACUGGGGGACUUGAGUACAGAAGAGGAAAGCGGAAUUCCAAGUGUAGCGGUGAAAUGCGUAGAGAUUUGUAGGAACACCAGUGGCGAAGGCGGCUUUCUGGUCUGUAACUGACGCUGAGGCGCGAAAGCGUGGGGAGCAAACAGGGAUUAGAUACCCUGGUAGUCCACGCCGUAAACGAUGAGUGCUAAGUGUUAGGGGGUUUCCCGCCCCUUAGUGCUGCAGCUAACGCAUUAAGCACUCCGCCUGGGGAGUACGGCCGCAAGGCUG
rnacentral:rRNA from 1 species